CUUAGUAAGACCUUGUCUCAAAACAAAAAAUAAAAAAGAGCUAAGGGUGUAGCUCAGUGUGAAGACCCUAAGUUCAACCCCCAGUCUCAUGGAGGGGAAAAAAAAAAGAAUUAAAUAAAAAAUAUCAAGGCUGUUAAACAUAAUAAAGCUAAGUAUUGUUUCAUAAAACUUGUGUUUUGCACAUACCUGUGUGUGUGUGUGUGUGUGUGUGUGUGUGUUUGUGUAGUGGGCAUGAAGUAUAAUUUAUCUUAGUAUGGACUGUGAUUAGAAAAAAGUUGUUUUUGUGAUACUGGAAAUUGAACUAGGCUGGGGCAUUUUUGCCAAACUGCAUCCCCACCCCUUUCUGUUUUUUAUUUUUGAGACAGUCUUGCUGUGUUGCCUAAGCCAGGCUCCAGCUUUCAAUCCUCAUGCCUCAGCAAACUUGGGAUUCUCCUGCCUCCGUCUCACAGAGUGCUGGAAUUAUAGGCCUGCACCACCGUACCCAGUUACAAAAAAAGCUUUAAGGCCAGUGACAGGACUAUGUUGGUAAUGUUGAGUGAGACUUUGGACUUUAUUCUGAGGGCAGUAAGAACCACUGAAGGAUUUCAAGCCAGAAGAAUAAUCAGAUUUGCCUUUUUUUUUUUGGUUUUUGUUGUUUUACUACCAGGGAUCGAACUCCGGACCUUGUGCUUGCGAGGCAGGCAGUGGAACCACUGAGCUAAAUCCCCGGCCCUAGAUUUGCCUUUUUUUGGAAGACGGAGCUGCUGUCCCUGGCAAAACGGAAGCGCAGUGACUCUGAGGAGAAGGAGCCCCCCGUGAGCCAGCCUGCAGCCUCGUCAGACUCAGAGACUUCGGACAGUGAUGACGAGCUUCUGGGAUCGGACCUGUUUUGGAGUUCAGGACAGCAGGGGCCUGAUGAAUUCAGGUUGGAAUAACCACCUUCAGUGCUCGGACUUAGGGACAGCUGUUUGGAUGCCACCCAGCCUUAUAUUUGCACACUUCCCUUGGCUUGACCUGCAGCACCUCAUUUAUCUGUUCACCAUUAAAAUCUCAACACAAGAAUUUGGAAUAAUAAAAGGAUUUCAUCAACUACUUGUUCAUAUUUAUUUACAACAAAUUUGGACACUUCUUACCAAACAG
rnacentral:lncRNA from 1 species